AAGUGACCUCUGUCUCUCUUCUGAUAGGGCGAGUUUCUGCUGCAGAUCCUGACACAUAAUCAGAUAAAUAAGACGUGAGAAGAGAACAACCGUGCAAUGCAGAAACAGGUUAAAGUGAGGCAAGGUAAAACAUUGUAUCAUCUGGAGGAAGGCGGUUCACACAUCAUUUCCAGACCUGAUAAAGAAAAGGAUAGGACAGAUCAACAAACAGCCAGGAAAUCUGCUUACUUAGUUCCAAGACGUCCAUUCCCAUGCUGAGUAGCACCCUGCUGAAAAGUCUGCUUCACUUUAAAGGUGUUGUUGUUGGCAGCACGUCAAAACGGGGAAAAGUGUUCGGAAUGGUCAGACAAAAUCCCGUGAUGGUGUGCAGAAUACACUAUGACUCUCCACAUGUGGAUUCAGACUUUGGACGAGAGGAAGUGAAGAAUGAGGGGAGGAACCAAAGAUGUAAUUUCUCAAAACAACUCUCUUGCAUUUCUACAUUAGUGAAGACCUUUGUGUAACCCGCUGCCCUUUUAUUGAUUUUUUGGUGACCGAUCAA